CACGUAGGGGGCAAGCGUUGUCCGGAUUUAUUGGGCGUAAAGAGCUCGUAGGCGGCUUAGUAAGUCGGGUGUGAAACCUCCAGGCUCAACCUGGAGACGCCACCCGAUACUGCUGUGGCUAGAGUCCGGUAGGGGAGCGUGGAAUUCCUGGUGUAGCGGUGAAAUGCGCAGAUAUCAGGAGGAACACCAGCGGCGAAGGCGGCGCUCUGGGCCGGUACUGACACUGAGGAGCGAAAGCGUGGGGAGCAAACAGG
rnacentral:rRNA from 1 species